AUUCAUUACAUGAUCACUAAUCAGAUGUGCCAUUGUUUUUGUAACUUUAGGUGGCAUCCCCCCUUCAAUUUCCCCCCUUCCUCAGCUUUUUUGGUACAGUCCAGCUAGCUUUUAGGUUCAGUCCCCAUGCGCACCGAACCCAACGCGCAAGCAUCUUCAUACCCGCUCCCUGCUCUUCAGUUUGCGCCAGUUUGCGCCACACCCCCCCACCCCCUUCACUUUGCGCACACCCCCGGAGAAACUCUCCCAGAUUUUAUGAUCCCAAUGUUGGCAGGUAUGGUGAGCAGUAAUACGUCUCAGUCUGUGUGUAUUUGAAGCUAAACUGAUGAACUGAUAAACGGAGGGGGAACUCUACUUUAUAAACUGUGCUGUGUGGUUUUAUGAUCUAACGCUGUUUAACCGCUGUGUUUUUAGUAGGGAAGGCUGAUUAAACCAAAUACAGCACUUUUACUGUCAGCAGUUUUAAAACAUGUCAAGAGUUAAGACGUAUAAUGCAUUUCUCCCCAGUUUUACAGCUCGAAUGUCAAAUAAAUCUGUAUAAGCACAUUUGCCUAAAUAAAGAAAGCAAUUAAACUGAAAGGAGACCUUUUACAAAUACUAAUGUCCUGUUUAAGUGAGCUUGCUAGUACAGUAGCUCAAAGUGCUUUUGGCAUCCUGGUGGAAAUGUAAUGUUUAAUUCAUUCGACUCCUGCCCGCUUGCUGAAUCGUCAUAUUCCACUGCCGCGUUGUGAAAGAAAGCUGUUUGUGUUUCUCCUGAAAGCUGAGAUGACUGUACGUGUGCGAGUGGCUCGAUAUCAUGCAUCUACUGUAGAUAUACGCUGAUGUUUUCAUUGGCUCGUCUCCACCAAGCGUUAAAUCUUAAUGCACAUGGGUGUGUUUGUGUGUGUUUGGCCACAUCGCUGCUAAAUGCCUGCAUUAAGCAUCCGCUCAUCCUCUGCUCUUUCCUGCAGAUCCCGAGUCCCAGAGGAAACGCACUGUUCAAAAUGUCCUCGACCUCCGGCAGAACCUGGAAGAGACCAUGUCCAGCUUACGGGGGUCCCAGCUUAGCCACAGCUGUAUCGAGAGCAGCAUGUGCUACGACAGCGAUGAGACAAACGCCCGCAGCAUCUCCAGCUUGUCCAACCGCUCGUCUCCUCUCUCCUGGCGCCAGGGCCAGUCCAGCCCUCGUCUGCAGGCUGGCGACGCCCCGUCCUCCGGGGUUCCUGCCCACUCACUGCCCAUCCGAGCCUCUGCGCAGAUCGGCCACCUGCAGCGCAUUCAGCUCAUCGAGAGCCUGGACACCACUGAUGAUGACCUGACACAACUUAAAUCAGCAUACCUCAGUGACGGCAACCUGACCGGCAAGAGCCAGGCUGAGGAUGACGAAGAUGAGGAGGAUGAUGAUGUAGAAGUCGAUGAUGAUGAUGAUGACCUCGCCAAUGGGUGAGUGUUGCUGCUGCCUUUUUUGCUUGUUCGUCCUGCUAUUAUUAUAAUUGUGUGUAUGCGUGUGUGUGUGUAUACAUACGUAUUUGUUUAAUUAAAUUUUCUUUGGCUUAUUCCCUGGCAUAUCAGUGGUUGAACAGUGGAUUAAAUUGCCCAUACAUACAUACAGUAUAUUCAUUUAAAUUAUUUUAUUUAAUGCACUUAUGUUCACAUAUUUGGGACCACAGUGUGUUUUUAAGUCAGUGAUUAUUUGAGGUAGCAUGAAUGUUAAUUCGAUCAAAAGUGUCAACAAAGAAGUUUAUGUUGAGUACAAAAAUAUGUAUAUUUUCCAUGUUCUGUUCAUCAACUAAUCCUGGAAAAAGUGCAUAUAUAUAUAUAUAUAUAUAUAUAUAUAUAUUUAUUUAUUUAUUUAUUUAUUUAUUUAUUUAUUUUAUUUUUUUUAAAUAUACAGAGCAGUUGUGCAUUUAUUUAUUUAUUUAUUUAUUUAUUUAUUCUUUAAUUUUUAUAUAUAUAUUUGUUAGUUAGUUAGUAUAAUAAUUUGCUACAUAUCUAAAUUUGAUCUAAAACCCCUGGAUUGGAAAUUUAAUGGUCAAACACCUGAUGAAAUUUAACUAGCAUUUCAAAUGCAGCAUGAGCUUUCCUAAAAAGAAAGGUUAUAAUAGUUUUGGAUUUUUCAUUAGUUUUAGUUUUAGUUUUGUUUUGACUUUGUGUUUUUUUAAAUUUAGUUAGUUUUAAUUAGUUUUUAGAGGCAGACGUACUAGUUUUUAUUAACAUGUUUCCACCUCAGGUUAACUUAUAUAAAUAAAAAAAACACAGUUGUUGCCUUUAUCUCAUAACUCUGACUUUUUUUUUUCCGCUUCAUAAUUUUGCCAAAAUUGAGUUUGUAUCUUGCAAUUGCAAUUGCAACAAUAAAAAAACAAUUACUGCUCUGCACAAAAUAUCUGUAAAUUAACAGAUUUCCGUAUUUUGUGAUUGAUGUUUUUAUUUUUACCUAUUUAUUUUUAGCUUUUGAAUAGCAUUACGGGCCCUUGAUCUUUCUUCCAACAAAUUUUAACCUUGAAAAAUGUGGGGAAAAAAGGGACUUAUGGACAUUUUUAAGAAUUUACAGCAAUAUAUUGUCUUAGUUGGUGUUUUAUAUCAUUGUAACACGAGGAGUGACAAAGACAACAGAGUUCGCAUCCACAUGCAGGUUUAUUAAAGAUGUCAGGCAAGCAAUGGUCAACACGGGUGCCAACAGAUCUAUGAAGGCAAUCCAGAAACGUUUUCAGAGUAACAGACGAGAGGUCGGAAGGCAGGCGGCAGACAUGGACAAAAAGACAAACUAGGCGAGGGUCAAAACACGGAAAAACAAGACAGGAUAAACGUGUUGCAAUGCCACUUAUAGUGAACAAUAGUGCAUCUAUGAAGUUUUAGUCCAGAACCUAGAAGUGGCGGUUUUGUAGUGCGUAGGUGAUUGCGCAUGUAUUCCAGCGAUCCAUGGAGGUUAGGUCGCUGGUGAACCUGACAAUUAUGCUACAAUAUCCCUGUAAUAAUCUUGCCAGUCUGUUAUUUUACAGACUUCUGUAUAUAUUGAUGUACACCUAAAUGUGUAUUUUAACAGUAGCCCCUUUCACACAGUGAUACCGGUAAAUAUCUGGAAAAUUUCCGGAACGACUUUACCGGUAUAUUCAAAAAAGCGCUGUUCACACAGGCGAGGACGUUACGGAAAUUUUCCGGAAAAGAGCAUUCACACAUCCAUCGCAAAAUGCCGGUAAAUUCUGACAUCAUUAACCAGAAAUGACCUCUAAACGGCUGCGCUUGUGUUUGUAAACAUUUGACUACAUCACAAACUCUUCGGAUGGAUCAGUAUUGAGUACAACUCUAAUGAAAACAUAGGGAAACACUUUGAUAUGUUUGUGUGCUGGCGCUAUGGGCGCUCACGGGCACAAGCAAAGCUUGAAGGUAAACAAACAACAGAUUAUCAUAAACAUUUUAUUGAUAAUUAUUUACACAGUUAGCAUUAAGAAGGAACAUAGAAACAUUAUCUGACUAACAUCUAGCAGCUAAAGGUGUCUGGAAAAAAUAUUCAAAGGCUUUUAUUCUCAUAAACCGCGUGCACGUGAAUGCGUCUGACUGUUGUGAUUGGCUAAAGCAGACGUCUCACGUCAGCCCGUUCUAGACGUGGACGCGCUUAUUACGGUAAUCUUCCUUCUGCAUUCACACAGCGCAGCAUUCCGGCAAAUUACCGGUAAUGUUACAACUUCUCUUUCCGGAAAAUAGCCAGAACGAAUUUACCGGUAUUUUCAAAAAAGGCCUGUUCACACAUACAACCUUUCCGGAAAAUUGCCGGUAAUUUUCUGGAAAGGUCUGUAUGUGUGAAAGGGGGCUAGUGUGUAUUACAAAUAUUAAUUAUUAUUUAUCACAUCUAGAAACAUACCAUGAUAUAUGUUUGCCACAUGAAUGUCUUUUAUGUGUAUGAGCUUGUAAUCUCCAGUGAGUCAAAUAACCUAAAUGAUUCUUGCUCCUGAUUCAUUGUCAGCCUGAGGCCCCCUAAAGAGCAAUCAUGUCACCAUCAGCUGAGGGUCUCAUUUCGGAGCCAUAUGUGGCAUCUUCAGUCCCCCCAUCAGAGUGUCGGUGUCCCCCGAGGGGCCUGUUUUCAGUGUCACAACACCUGAUGUUUCCGAAUGCAGCUUUCCUUCUGCUCGCUGCAGCUGUGAAUAAAGGACAGCUCAUUGUUUCAAUAGUGUUGAAUGCAUGCGCACGUGUGUGUGUGUGUAUGUGAGAACACAAAACUAGGAAAUGACUGAGGAAACGAGUUGUGUUUGCUUAAGCCGUCAGCUGAGCUUUUAUCUUGCCCUCUCUUAACCCGCGCUGUUUAAUUUAGUUUGAUGGGCAACAUUGCCAACAUUGAGAUGUGAGAAAGUUCAGCAUCCAGCAGCUCAGGUCUGAAAGUAUACUUCACCUUGAAUUUGACUCCACUUCUCAACAAUUUAUAUCUAACUUCUGCAGAUGA
ensembl:lincRNA